rnacentral:rRNA from 1 species
UACGGGGGGGGCAAGCGUUGUUCGGAAUUACUGGGCGUAAAGGGCGCGUAGGCGGCCUUCUAAGUCGAACGUGAAAUCCCCGGGCUCAACCCGGGAACUGCGUCCGAUACUGGAAGGCUUGAAUCCGGGAGAGGGAUGCGGAAUUCCGAGGUGGAGCGGUGAAAUGCGUAGAGAUCUGGAAGAACACCAAGGGCGAAGGCAGCAUCCUGGCUCGUAUCGACGCUGAUGUGCGAAAGCUAGGGGAGCGA